rnacentral:rRNA from 1 species
GACGAACGCUGGCGGCGUGCUUAACACAUGCAAGUCGAACGGAAAGGCCCUGCUUUUGUGGGGUGCUCGAGUGGCGAACGGGUGAGUAACACGUGAGUAACCUGCCCUUGACUUUGGGAUAACUUCAGGAAACUGGGGCUAAUACCGGAUAGGAGCUCCUGCUGCAUGGUGGGGGUUGGAAAGUUUCGGCGGUUGGGGAUGGACUCGCGGCUUAUCAGCUUGUUGGUGGGGUAGUGGCUUACCAAGGCUUUGACGGGUAGCCGGCCUGAGAGGGUGACCGGCAACAUUGGGACUGAGAUAAGGCCAAGACUCCUACGGGAGGAAGCAGUGGGGAAUAUUGAACAAUGGGCGGAAGCCUGAUGAAACAACGCCGCGUGCGGGAUGACGGCCUUCGGGUUGUAAACCGCUUUCGCCUGUGACGAAGCGUGAGUGACGGUAAUGGGUAAAGAAGCACCGGCUAACUACGUG